rnacentral:rRNA from 1 species
AGAGUGAACGCUGGCGGCAGGCCUAAUACAUGCAAGUCGAACGGCAGCACGGCAGAGCUUGCUCUGUGGGUGGCGAGUGGCGGACGGGUGAGGAAUACAUGGGAAUCUGCCCAGUCGUGGGGGAUAACGUAUGGAAACGUACGCUAAUACCGCAUGCGCCCUUCGGGGGAAAGCCGGGGACCUUCGGGCCUGGCGCGAUUGGAUGAGCCCAUGUCGGAUUAGCUAGUUGGCGGGUAACGCCCACAAGGCGACGAUCCGUAGCUGGUCUGAGAGGAUGAUCAGCCACACUGGAACUGAGACACGGUCCAGACUCCUACGGGAGGCAGCAGUAGGAAUAUUGGAACAAGUGGGCGACAAGCCUGAUCCAGCCAUGCCGCGUGUGUGAAGAAGGCCUUCGGUUGUAAGACUACUUUGUACCGUAAAGAAAGCGACGUACGGUUAACGACCGUUGGUACGUCCGUACG